rnacentral:rRNA from 1 species
CCAUGCCGUAAACGUUGGGCGCUAGGUGUGGGGUCCAUUCCACGGGUUCCGUGCCGCAGCUAACGCAUUAAGCGCCCCGCCUGGGGAGUACGGCCGCAAGGCUAAAACUCAAAGGAAUUGACGGGGGCCCGCACAAGCGGCGGAGCAUGUGGAUUAAUUCGAUGCAACGCGAAGAACCUUACCUGGGUUUGACAUGCACUAGACGCGUCCAGAGAUGGGCGUUCCCUUGUGGCUGGUGUGCAGGUGGUGCAUGGCUGU